rnacentral:lncRNA from 1 species
AUGAGAUUUUGGACUGUGGACUUUUGAGUUAAUGCCGAAAUACCGUGCUGCUUUGGACAACUCAACCUGCCCUGGACAGUGUGGGGGCCCAGACUCUAGUUGAUUCAUUUUUGCCUUUGCCAUGGCACCAAGCACAGAACCUUUCACAAAAUAGGUUGCUGAGCAAGGAAAGAAAUCCGUCUCCCUCCAUCGGUGGAUGAUGGGUUGAUAGAAGAUGAACUGGACUGUACUGUCAGCGGAGC